ACUCAAUAGAUACCCUGGUAGUCCACGCCGUAAACUAUGGAUGCUAGCUGUUAUCGGUAUCGACCCCGGUAGUAGCGAAAGCUAACGCGUUAAGCAUCCCGCCUGUGGAGUACGAGCGCAAGCUUAAAACAUAAAGGAAUUGACGGGGACCCGCACAAGCGGUGGAGCGUGUUGUUUAAUUCGACGGUAAACGAAGAACCUUACCCAGGCUUGACAUCCUGCUAAGAUUUCCGAAAGGAAAUUGUGCCUUCGGGCCGCAGUGACAGGUGCUGCAUGGUCGUCGUCAGCUCGUGUCGUGAGAUGUUUGGUUAAGUCCAUCAACGAGCGCAACCCUUAUAGUCAGUUGGAUUUUCUGGCUAGACUGCCCCGGUAACGGGGAGGAAGGAGGGGAUGAUGUCAGAUCAUUAUUGCCCUUACGUCUGGGGCUACAAACACGCUACAAUGGCCGGUACAAAGGGCAGCCAACCCGCGAGGGGAGCAAAUCCCAUCAAAGCCGGUCUCAGUUCGGAUUGUAGGCUGAAACUCGCCUGCAUGAAGCUGGAA
rnacentral:rRNA from 1 species